GACGAACGCUGGCGGCGUGCUUAACACAUGCAAGUCGAACGGAAAGGCCCUGCUUUUGUGGGGUGCUCGAGUGGCGAACGGGUGAGUAACACGUGAGUAACCUGCCCUUGACUUUGGGAUAUCUUCAGGAAACUGGGGCUAAUACCGGAUAGGAGCUCCUGCUGCAUGGUGGGGGUUGGAAAGUUUCGGCGGUUGGGGAUGGACUCGCGGCUUAUCAGCUUGUUGGUGGGGUAGUGGCUUACCAAGGCUUUGACGGGUAGCCGGCCUGAGAGGGUGACCGGCCACAUUGGGACUGAGAUACGGCCCAGACUCCUACGGGAGGCAGCAGUGGGGAAUAUUGCACAAUGGGCGGAAGCCUGAUGCAGCAACGCCGCGUGCGGGAUGACGGCCUUCGGGUUGUAAACCGCUUUCGCCUGUGACGAAGCGUGAGUGACGGUAAUGGGUAAAGAAGCACCGGCUAACUACGUGCCAGCAGCCGCGGUGAUACGUAGGGUGUGAGCGUUGUCCGGAUUUAUUGGGCGUAAAGGGCUCGUAGGUGGUUGAUCGCGUCGGAAGUGUAAUCUUGGGGCUUAACCCUGAGCGUGCUUUCGAUACGGGUUGACUUGAGGAAGGUAGGGGAGAAUGGAAUUCCUGGUGGAGCGGUGGAAUGCGCAGAUAUCAGGAGGAACACCAGUGGCGAAGGCGGUUCUCUGGGCCUUUCCUGACGCUGAGGAGCGAAAGCGUGGGGAGCGAACAGGCUUAGAUACCCUGGUAGUCCACGCUGUAAACGGUGGGUACUAGGUGUGGGGUCCAUUCCACGGGUUCCGUGCCGUAGCUAACGCUUUAAGUACCCCGCCUGGGGAGUACGGCCGCAAGGCUAAAACUCAAAGGAAUUGACGGGGCCCCGCACAAGCGGCGGAGCAUGCGGAUUAAUUCGAUGCAACGCGUAGAACCUUACCUGGGUUUGACAUGGAUCGGGAGUGCUCAGAGAUGGGUGUGCCUCUUUUGGGGUCGGUUCACAGGUGGUGCAUGGCUGUCGUCAGCUCGUGUCGUGAGAUGUUGGGUUAAGUCCCGCAACGAGCGCAACCCUUGUUCACUGUUGCCAGCACGUUAUGGUGGGGACUCAGUGGAGACCGCCGGGGUCAACUCGGAGGAAGGUGGGGAUGACGUCAAGUCAUCAUGCCCCUUAUGUCCAGGGCUUCACGCAUGCUACAAUGACUGGUACAGAGAGUGGCGAGCCUGUGAGGGUGAGCGAAUCUCGGAAAGCCGGUCUCAGUUCGGAUUGGGGUCUGCAACUCGACCUCAUGAAGUCGGAGUCGCUAGUAAUCGCAGAUCAGCAACGCUGCGGUGAAUACGUUCCCGGG
rnacentral:rRNA from 1 species